UUUGGUAUAGAUUCAAGAGAGUUAAAUGCUCCCUCCGAGGAAAGUUACCCGAAGGGCCAACUGGAACGUAAUACAAAGCGCUUGGCAGAUGUCGUCUCAGAUGCUUCAAAUUUUCAGUCAUUCAUUAUGAUGAACUUUGGAAGCUUUAGCAACAAUCUUUCUACUCCCUCUGGAGAGUUUGUAUCUGGCUGGUGCUCGUCUAACAUUCUAGUUUGUGAAGAGGAUGCACCAUUAAAAUGAGAAGGAUCUGUUUCUCAACAUGUUCAUUCGGGUCAUAGAGAAGGACUAUUAGAAACUGUCAGAUGGGAAAGUGUCCACAGUUAGCAAUAACUUGUGUUCACUGUUAUGUCAUGCAUAGUCUUUAGUUCCAGGAUUUUUGAAUGAAGAUGAUGUACAACUGCUGAGGGAAUACGCUUCAUAAAAAGGAAUUUUAGUGC